rnacentral:rRNA from 1 species
UACGUAGGGACCGAGCGUUGUCCGGAAUCAUUGGGCGUAAAGAGCGUGUAGGCGGCCACUUAAGUCCUGCGUGAAAUCUUGCGGCUCAACCGCAAGCGGUCGUGGGAAACUGGGUGGCUAGAGUGCGGGAGAGGAGAGUGGAAUUCCUGGUGUAGCGGUGGAAUGCGCAGAUAUCAGGAGGAACACCUAUUGCGAAGGCAGCUCGCUGGGACGUAACUGACGCUGAGACGCGAAAGCGUGGGGAGCAAACAGG